rnacentral:rRNA from 1 species
CAGCCGCCACGGGAAUACAGAGGGUGCAAGCGUUAAUCGGAAUUACUGGGCGUAAAGCGCGCGUAGGUGGUUUGUUAAGUUGGAUGUGAAAUCCCCGGGCUCAACCUGGGAACUGCAUCCAAAACUGGCAAGCUAGAGUAUGGUAGAGGGUGGUGGAAUUUCCUGUGUAGCGGUGAAAUGCGUAGAUAUAGGAAGGAACACCAGCGGCGAAGGCGACCACCUGGACUGAUACUGACACUGAGGUGCGAAAGCGUGGGGAGCAAACAGGAUUAGAUACCCCCGUAGUCCCUGUCUCUUAUAC